GACGAACGCUGGCGGCGUGCCUAAUACAUGCAAGUUGAGCGAUGAAGAUUGGUGCUUGCACCAAUUUGAAGAGCAGCGAACGGGUGAGUAACGCGUGGGGAAUCUGCCUUUGAGCGGGGGACAACAUUUGGAAACGAAUGCUAAUACCGCAUAACAACUUUAAACAUAAGUUUUAAGUUUGAAAGAUGCAAUUGCAUCACUCAAAGAUGAUCCCGCGUUGUAUUAGCUAGUUGGUGAGGUAAAGGCUCACCAAGGCGAUGAUACAUAGCCGACCUGAGAGGGUGAUCGGCCACAUUGGGACUGAGACACGGCCCAAACUCCUACGGGAGGCAGCAGUAGGGAAUCUUCGGCAAUGGACGAAAGUCUGACCGAGCAACGCCGCGUGAGGGAAGAAGGGUUUCGGAUCGUAAAACUCGGUUGGUAGAGAAGAACGUUGGUGAGAGUGGAAAGCUCAUCAAGUGACGGUAACUACACAGAAAGGGACGGCUAACUACGUG
rnacentral:rRNA from 1 species